rnacentral:lncRNA from 1 species
UUCUCUUUUCUUUAUAUAUUUUACCCCUAAUUCUCUUUUCUUUAUAUUUAAUCACACUAGUAUUCUCUAUACUUAAUUUUGUUUGCCUAUUUUUCUCAUUUCUUUCCCUUUUAUUCUGCACAUUUUCUCUAUUAUUCCCCAUUCUGUAAACUCUCAAUAAAAUAGAAUUGUUUAGAUCGAUUUAAGAAAUGCUUUUGGGAAUUGGAUCAUAUUGUCCUACAUGUAUAUGUAGAAAAGCAGAUCCUUGGCUUUCGUCGCAACUUAUAUAUACCAUUUACUAUUCAGGUUAUUAAAACUAUUAUUUUGUUUUUUUAAAUAAUUAUAAUACAUAGGGCAAUGUUUUUUUGAGUACGCACACACAUAUUUAUAUUUUGCAUUUACGAAAAUAUCGAAAAGACUGCAAUAUUAAAAAUUAGAUACCUCGAAAGCAAAGUAUAAACCAAAAGAUAAGGCAUAAACCAUUACACAAUCAACAUAAACAGCAUAAACAAUACAUACUCAUUUGUAAAAAGAUGAGUUUCUUUGCGGAC